ACUUGGAGGAUGUAUAGCAAUAGCUGCAUGCAUCAUUGCAAAAAUGAUGCAGGAUCGACUAUGUCGAAUAAAAUUCUAGGUAGAAUUAUGAUAAUGACAUUGUCUGCCUAUGUGUCUUGACCAAAUUACGUGCCAGCAGUCGCGGUAAUACGUAGAAGACUAGUGUUAUUCAUGUUUAAUCGGUUUAAAGGGUACCUAGACGGCAAAUCAAGCCUAAAUUUAAGUUAAAUGAAGGGACUAAUUUGCUAGAGUUACUUAUGAGGGGGUAUUAAAGUACUGCUGGUGUAGAGAUGAAAUUCUGUCAUACCUCUUUUCAAUAGAAAAAUAAUGGCACAGGUAUAGGCGAAAGCAUCCCCUUAUGUGAUAACUGACGUUGAGGGACGAAGGCUUUUUGUAGCGAACAGGAUUAGAUACCCUAGUAGUCAAAGCAGAAAAUGAUGAAUGUCAUAGAUUAGAUAUACAAGUUUAUUCUAUAAAUGAAAGUGUAAGCAUUCCACCUCAAGAGUAAUUUGGCAACAUUGGAACUGAAAUCAUUAGACCGUUUCUGAAACCAGUAGUGAAGUAUGUUGUUUAAUUUGAUGAUCCGCAAAAAACCUUACCACAAUUUGAAUAUUUAUAUUUUUUUUUAUUGUUUUCUUAUUAAUUUUCUUCUAAUAACAACAAACAAAAAAAAAAGGAAAAAAAUUAAUAAAGAGGCAAUAAUAUAUAUUUACAAGCGUUGCACGGCUGUCUUCAGUUAAUGUCGCGAGACUUUGGUUAGUUCCAUUAAAUUAACGUAAACCCUUACUUUAUUUUUAUAUAAAGUAGUUCUCCACUAUAUUGGAUAAGAUAAC
rnacentral:rRNA from 1 species